UAUCUCUGUAGAGUCUGCAUAUCAAUAAGCGGAGGAAAAGAAACUAACAAGGAUUCCCUUAGUAACGGCGAGUGAAGCGGGAAGAGCUCAAAUUUGAAAUCUUCAAGGUUCUACCUUGACGAAUUGUAGUUUAAAGAAGUGUUUUCUGUUAGAUGAGUAGCAAAAGUUCCUUGGAAUGGGACAUCAUAGAGGGUGAGAAUCCCGUAUUUGGUUAUUCAUUCUAGCUUUGUGAUACACCUUCAAAGAGUCGGAUUGUUUGGGAAUGCAGUCCAAAAUGGGUGGUAAAUUUCAUCUAAAGCUAAAUAUUGGCGAGAGACCGAUAGCGAACAAGUACCGUGAGGGAAAGAUGAAAAGAACUUUGAAAAGAGAGUUAAACAGUACGUGAAAUUGUCAAAAGGGAAGCGUUUGACACCAGUGUUGUUUUUCCAAAAUCAAUUACGAAUGGCUUGAUUUUGUGUUGUAUUGACCUUAUCAGCUUUCUUCACUUUUUUCGAGUCUUUCUUAAUGCACUUUUCUGGUUAACAAGUCAACAUCAAUUUCUUUUGUUGUAAAAGAGUAUUCGGAAGGUGGCUUUCUUUUCGGAGAAAGUGUUUAUAGCCCUAUACUUCUACAAUCGGAGAGAUUGAGGUCUGCAGCGUAGAUCCUUCGGGGUUAGAUACACUUGUGCUAAGUUGUAGCUUUUCAUAGACAACUUGUUGACUAUGUUUAGUCAUGCGGCUUACUCGCUUAUGCUAUUUUACCUACGCUUAGGAUGUUGACUGAUAUGUAGUCGUA
rnacentral:rRNA from 1 species